AUCUUUGACUCGAAUCUUCAAGUUCGACCGGGAGUUUCUGCUCCUUCCGCCGGCCAUUGCCUUUAAAUUUGGAGUCCGGUGGUUCGUCGGAGCACGUUCUUGACGAUUCAACUCUGUGAACAAGUUCAGAGAGCUCGUUCAAGAAUGGCCGUUGAGGCUUGGUACAUGAACGAUAGCAAUGAAGACCAGAGGCUUCCUCUUCAUCGCAACCCUAAAGAGUUCGUCUCCAUGGACCAGUUAGCAGAAUGUUGCAGGGCUCUUGGAGAUCAGAGACUCGUUUAUCACUGGAAAAUGUCACAAAGCAAAUCUCUGAAUUUUGUCAUUCAGCAACUGCUGGAGUUAGAUUUUAUGACAGCGAGGACCUAUUUGCUUGGUUUGGUCUAAAAGACUAUGCUUGCCAGUUGCUCUUUUCUGCUGCUCAACUGCUCCUAAAAAGUUCAAUUAUUUCAUAUUCAUCAGAAGGAUCAAGCAGAAGAUCAUGAAAACACACCUGGGAUGGGAACAAUAUCAUUACCCUGAAGGAGCAACCAAGCUAAAGCCAGCUGAACUGGGAUAUAACCAUGCCUCACAGCUACAUUAGCUAGCCUUUGUAGAUAAGUUCAUUCUGUUCCAAAUUCUUCUUGCUGAACCUUGAAUGAGAUGUCUAUUAAACACAUCACAAACAAGUAUAUGGAUCAGUUUGUUAUGCAAUACAAUAGAGCGACCAUGGCAGAACUUGCACAAUAGUCUCCUUUUACGGACCUACCAACGAAUGUUCGGCUCAGAGGACUGUAAGUCACUGUCCCAGAUCCCUGCAAAACACCCUGGCUUCAUCCACCAAGUCAUUCAACAUAUAACUUUGGAGCUGCUUCAAGGCCUGCAAAAUAAAAUAUCUUCAGUCAAUUGGUAAGGUCUCAAACACUACCUUUUCAAUCGUGAUUUCAUUGUCAUGAUCAGGUCCAUAAUGAUCAGAAGAACAAAAAAAAGUUAUGCCUUUGAUGAAAGCUUGUUUGAUAUUUUGGUAUCCAUGUCCAUGAGAAAGGGGAACCACUGGGACACCCUGAAAAGCGCUGCACACCCAAAACCCAACCUUGGAACUUGCAAAGGCAUAAGGAUUUUCACUGUCAAACCAAAAGUUUCGUGUUCUUUUUCAAGUUCCCAUUUCUUAAAAGUGAUCAAUCUUUAUCUCUACUCCUUGGCUACCCAGUUUCACUCUGGAGAUUUGGAUCAGAUUUUGGGGCUUUCCCUCCAUUUUGAAGAUAUCAGAGGAGCUUAUACUCUGCAGAUAUUGCAAUUUGCUGUGGAAUUUUCUUGAUGAUUGUUUCCCCUAAUGGAACUUUUUUGCACCCUUUGAUUAUUGAUAGUGUGUUGAGUUUCUUGUUUCAUGACAAAGGAAUAUGCCAUGAAAGUAGCUAAAACUGAACCUCCUACAAUGUCUUUGAGGGUGUAAGGUCAAUUCUUCCACCUUA